CCCUUAGAUGUUCUGGGCCGCACGCGCGCUACACUGAUGCAUUCAACGAGUCUAAAACCUGGUCUGAUAGGGCUGGGUAAUCUUUUGAAAGUGCAUCGUGAUUGGGAUAGAUGAUUGCAAUUCUUCAUCUUCAACGAGGAAUGCCUAGUAAACGCAAGUCAUCAGCUUGCAUUGAUUACGUCCCUGCCCUUUGUACACACCGCCCGUCGCUCCUACCGAUUGAAUGAUCCGAUGAAUACCAUGGAUUGACAGUACGAAUGGGUUCGCUCAUUUCUGCUGCUCGAGAAGUGGAGUAAAUCUUAUCAUUUAGAGGAAGGAGAAGUCGUAACA
rnacentral:rRNA from 1 species